rnacentral:piRNA from 1 species
UGCAUUUGUAUGUGGCUGGGCUGC